rnacentral:rRNA from 1 species
UACGUAGGGGGCAAGCGUUGUCCGGAUUUAUUGGGCGUAAAGAGCUCGUAGGCGGUCUGUUGCGUCGGCUGUGAAAACCCGGGGCGCAACUCCGGGCCUGCAGCCGAUACGGGCAGACUAGAGUUCGGCAGGGGAGACUGGAAUUCCUGGUGUAGCGGUGAAAUGCGCAGAUAUCAGGAGGAACACCGGUGGCGAAGGCGGGUCUCUGGGCCGAUACUGACGCUGAGGAGCGAAAGCGUGGGGAGCGAACAGG